rnacentral:rRNA from 1 species
UACGGGGGGGGCAAGCGUUGUUCGGAAUUACUGGGCGUAAAGGGCUCGUAGGUGGCCAACUAAGUCAGACGUGAAAUCCCCAGGCUCAACUUGGGAACUGCGUCUGAUACUGGAUGGCUUGAAUUCGGGAGAGGGAUGCAGAAUUCCAGGUGUAGCGGUGAAAUGCGUAGAUAUCUGGAGGAAUACCGGUGGCGAAGGCGGCAUCCUGGACCGAUAUUGAGACUGAUGAGCGAAAGCUAGGGGAGCAAACGGG